UUGGGUCUUCUGGGCACCCGUGAUCAUAGGUCUCGCAUUCGCGAAGAUCAUUUUGGAAAAACAAAUACUCUUCAAGAAGCGGUCGGGGUCCCGUGCCAAGGCUUACCAUCGCACUGCGGUUGGCUGAAGAAUGCCAGUACCCCAAACCGGGGCAGCCGGUAUUGAAUCUACGCCUCUAGGCCACAGGGAUGUGUAUCCAGCUGGGUGAGUAUAUUGUUAAUUAGUACUCCCAGGAGUAUUACGAUGUGCCCUUUAUGUUUUUUAUGAAAUGCAUUUCAAGUAAAUACAGAACGGAAUUUUCUUGCUUUUGCUUGGAGGGACAAUGGAAUAGUAUUACACAAUAUAUUUACGAAAGCGGAAUUUAUUUGUCCAGUUCUCACAUGAUGUACUAAGCACUUGAGGUUAUCAUUCAUAAAUUGGUUGAAAUCCUGGAACACAAAUUCGAACUUAGUUACCAAGGGUAAUAUUGGACUCCUUGUGAGUAAGCUCACAUUUAAAAGAUAAUUAUCUUGUCUAGUAGAAAUCUGAAAACUGUGC